CUUGGAUGAGUUGCGAACGGGUGAGUAACGCGUAGGUAACCUGCCUUGUAGCGGGGGAUAACUAUUGGAAACGAUAGCUAAUACCGCAUAACAAUGGAUGACACAUGUCAUUUAUUUGAAAGGGGCAAUUGCUCCACUACAAGAUGGACCUGCGUUGUAUUAGCUAGUAGGUGAGGUAAUGGCUCACCUAGGCGACGAUACAUAGCCGACCUGAGAGGGUGAUCGGCCACACUGGGACUGAAACACGGCCCAGACUCCUACGGGAGGCAGCAGUAGGGAAUCUUCGGCAAUGGGGGCAACCCUGACCGAACAACGCCGCGUGAGUGAAGAAGGUUUUCGGAUCGUAAAGCUCUGUUGUAAGUCAAGAACGGGUGUGAGAGUGGAAAGUUCACACUGUGACGGUAGCUUACCAGAAAGGGACGGCUAACUACGUGCCAGCAGCCGCGGUAAUACGUAGGUCCCGAGCGUUGUCCGGAUUUAUUGGGCGUAAAGCGAGCGCAGGCGGUUUGAUAAGUCUGAAGUUAAAGGCUGUGGCUCAACCAUAGUUCGCUUUGGAAACUGUCAAACUUGAGUGCAGAAGGGGAGAGUGGAAUUCCAUGUGUAGCGGUGAAAUGCGUAGAUAUAUGGAGGAACACCGGUGGCGAAAGCGGCUCUCUGGUCUGUAACUGACGCUGAGGCUCGAAAGCGUGGGGAGCGAACAGGAUUAGAUACCCUGGUAGUCCACGCCGUAAACGAUGAGUGCUAGGUGUUGGAUCCUUUCCGGGAUUCAGUGCCGCAGCUAACGCAUUAAGCACUCCGCCUGGGGAGUACGACCGCAAGGUUGAAACUCAAAGGAAUUGACGGGGGCCCGCACAAGCGGUGGAGCAUGUGGUUUAAUUCGAAGCAACGCGAAGAACCUUACCAGGUCUUGACAUCCCGAUGCUAUUUCUAGAGAUAGAAAGUUACUUCGGUACAUCGGUGACAGGUGGUGCAUGGUUGUCGUCAGCUCGUGUCGUGAGAUGUUGGGUUAAGUCCCGCAACGAGCGCAACCCCUAUUGUUAGUUGCCAUCAUUCAGUUGGGCACUCUAGCGAGACUGCCGGUAAUAAACCGGAGGAAGGUGGGGAUGACGUCAAAUCAUCAUGCCCCUUAUGACCUGGGCUACACACGUGCUACAAUGGUUGGUACAACGAGUUGCGAGUCGGUGACGGCGAGCUAAUCUCUUAAAGCCAAUCUCAGUUCGGAUUGUAGGCUGCAACUCGCCUACAUGAAGUCGGAAUCGCUAGUAAUCGCGGAUCAGCACGCCGCGGUGAAUACGUUCCCGGGCCUUGUACACACCGCCCGUCACACCACGAGAGUUUGUAACA
rnacentral:rRNA from 1 species